rnacentral:rRNA from 1 species
AUUGAACGCUGGCGGCAGGCCUAACACAUGCAAGUCGAGCGAGCGGCGGACGGGUGAGUAAUGUAUGGGGACUGCCCGAUAGAGGGGGAUAACUACUGGAAACGGUAGCUAAUACCGCAUACUAUCGGAUAACCCCUAUGGGAUUAGCUAGUUGGUGGGGUAAAGGCUCACCAAGGCCACGAUCCGUAGCUGGUUUGAGAGGACGACCAGCCACACUGGUACUGAGACACGGCCCAUGCUCCGGCGGAGGGAGCAGUGGGGAAUUUUGGAAGAUGGGGGGAACCCUGAUCCAGCCAUCCCGCGUGUAUGAUGAAGGCCUGCGGGUUGUAAAGUACGUUUGGCAGAGAAGCGGUAUCUGCAGAAUAAGCACCGGCGAACUACGUGCCAGCAGCCGCGGUAAUUC